rnacentral:lncRNA from 1 species
CAAGAGGUGAAGAAGAGCAAACGCCGACGGACGCGCGAAGCAACAAAUUGCGAGAUUUGAGCGACUUCAGUGAGAGCUCGAGGGCGGCGCAGGUGCGAGUGCGUUCGUCGUGGUUCUGGGACCUGGGUUCUCUGAGUUAGGGAUGUCGUUGAGGAGGAGAAUCGAGAAAUGGGUGGUGCGACGGCGGCGGUUCUGAGUUUGAUGCCGUCGAGGUCGAGGAGGAGAAGACGAGUGACAUAGAGUAUGUGGGUGGGAGGAGACGAGAGAGAGUCG